rnacentral:rRNA from 1 species
UACAGAGGUCUCAAGCGUUGUUCGGAUUCAUUGGGCGUAAAGGGUGCGUAGGCGGCUCCGUAAGUCGGGUGUGAAAUUUUGGAGCUUAACUCCGAAACUGCAUUCGAUACUGCGGUGCUUGAGGACUGGAGAGGAGACUGGAAUUCAUGGUGUAGCAGUGAAAUGCGUAGAGAUCAUGAGGAAGACCAGUGGCGAAGGCGGGUCUCUGGACAGUUCCUGACACUGAGACGCGAAGGCCAGGGGAGCAAACGGG